CAUGCCAUUUACAUAUAUCAUCCCUUCUACUCUAAAAUUGUUAGACGUAAGCAAUUCAUGGGAUUAACAAGUUCUAGAGAGGUAAUUGUGUGUUAUAUAGUCUUUUAUAUAUCAUAAUGUGGAUUGUUCAAACAAAGUAAAUAGGCUGAAACUAAUAAAAUUAAAUGUUUAGCUUAUAGGUCAAAAUUUAUGGAUACUUGAACACCUUUUUUUUUUUAAGUGAGAGAAGAAAAAAAAUGAAUGGAGGAUACAAAAUGGUAAUUAUAGGGAAUGCUUGGUUAUAUUUCAGAGUAUUGAUUGGAUCACAUCAGACUCUAUUACUUCAUUGUUCUAUGGAUAUCUAUAAGGAAAAAAACAACAGUCUUCAUGUAGAAGAAGAAAUGCAAGAAAACAAAAAAGGAAUUCAAUUUAUUCUAUGUCGCUUGACAUUGGUGUUUUGCUGGACAUUAGCAUUAGUAUGAUCCAUAGUGCCUAUGACCCAGAUAACCCAGUAAUUGAACAGCAAAGGGUAUGCGUGAUUUUAAAAUUUCUCUGACCCAGUCAAGGGGCCUUUUUAACUAAUCAUUUUUUUAAACAAAAAAAUUCUGCAGGUUGCUACUGUUCAAGGUCUUUCAGGAACUGGUUCUCUUCGACUUGCUGUUGCACUCAUUAAAAGGGAUGGUGAUCGGAAUCUGGUUAUGAGGUUAGAGGAUUAAAAGUGCAGAAAAUCAAGACAAGAUGAAAAAGAAAAAAAAUCUCAAGAGCCAACCUUAGAAUCCCUUAAGCACCACAUCUAGGGAUAUAAUUGCAUUACACAAUUAUAAAUCUAGGACCAAGGAUCCUUGGUCCUUGGUCCUAGGUCCAUGAUCUGAGUUUUAUUCUUGUACUCAACUUCAUUUAACUUAAGGUGCCAUUUAACUUUUUUUUCCACCUCAGAAUUUUUGAAGGCCAAGUGUUUGAUGAAUUGUGAAGUUUCCUUAAUUCUUGAGCAUAAAUAUGAACAGCUGUAGCAGAUGGCUGAUGAUCUAAUGAACCAAGUUUCUCAGUGAGUAUUACUUGUACAGGAUUCUCAGGACCCAAAUCUACUGAUUUGAUCUUUGGCUGUACGGACAAUGGGAUGCAUUCGUGCUGACAAAAUCACAGAAUAUCUGUGUGAUCCACUUCAGAGGUGUCUCAAGGUUGAUAUUUACCCUUGUUUCCAAAAGUUUGGAUCAGUAUCUCAAACACGAGGAGUCUGCUGAGUUGUCUGCGAUUUCAACUUGAUUCAAUGGGUAUAUUAGUUGUUGUUUUGAUAUCAUUUUCUCAUUUCAAUAAUCAAGUCUUUUUGCUUUAUUUUUUUUUCCCACCUAGUAGGAUUUGUAAUUGAGAAUCGGAUAAGUGAUAAUGUGUUAUGGCUAUGAGAAAGUUUUUAUAUUAAAACACUUAAUUUGAGGCAGUUCAAUGGUGGUUAUUUCUUGUUACCAUUCUUAUCUUUUUCUUUUUUCAGUUUGUUGUUUCAUUGAGAAUAUACGAGUACUUUUUAUCAAUGCACUAGAA